rnacentral:lncRNA from 1 species
AAAUUUUAAAUCAAAGAUAUUGAUCUUGUUUUAUAUAGUAUAAAGAAUUUUCUAUCAAAAUUUCACGUGGUUUGGAUAUUUCUACACCGUUAAACUUGCAAACGGCUCACUACGGCCAUUGAAAUUCGUUGAUUUUGAGCCCAUUCGAUCACUAGGCAAAUGAUAUCGAAAAAUAAUAAAAUUUAUUUUCUAGGUACUCCAAAUACUCUAGAUCAAGUUUAACGGAGCCGAUCGACGAUUCGAAAGUCGCAACAUCGAAAACGAACUGGAAGCACGGAAGGCUCUGUACUUUCGAUAGCAUAGUAGCCUCACUCUCUCUCUCUCUCUCUCUCUCUCUCUCUAUAUAUAUAUAUAUAUAUAUAUAUAUAUAU